CGUGCUUGAGAUCUUUCAGCGUCCAAUCCGUGUGCCCCUCACGCACUGCACCAUUCGUCACUAUCACACCAAAUCCACCGCGGUUCCUCCGCAGUCGCCUGCAACCCUAUCCCCUUACCGCCAAACCCCGCAGCCACCGCAAGCCCGCAACCGCCCUCCUCCUCCAUCCUCUCGCGCUCCCCUCCCACAUCUCAUCCACCCCUCUUCAUCUCGGACCGGAUCAGAGACGUGUGGGCGCGGAGGCGAGCUUCUCCGGCGGCGGCGACCUGCAGGCAAAGGGCGACGGCAGCGGCGCUGGAUUUGAUGCAGCGCCAUGGAUCGCCCCCUGCUGAGAGAUGAGGAUGCUGGACUGCCAUCAUUCCUCCUUCACUGUGCGGUGCCUCCUGCGAGUGUCACCUCGUCCCACCGGCUUCCAGCGCCGUGGAUCCGCCGGGAUGGAGGGCAACAAGUGAGAGGGAGCAGGAGAAGAGGUGAAUCGAGGGAGUGAAAGGAGCUCACACGGGAAGGGGCGCCUCCUCCCAUGACGGCACGAUCAGCGGCUCUUGCUCGACCCCAUGAUACACAACACAGUGGUUGUUCUUGAGCUCCAAGGCUGGCCUUAGGUUAGCAAUUCGGCAUCGGCACACUUCGAAUCUAUACCCCAGGUGAAUACCUUGUCUAUUUGGUUUUUCUUCAUGAAUGCUAAUAACUUGUAUCGUUUCUACACUGAUAUAUGUACUCAUAUCUCUUUUGAAUCUGUUUAAAUAAGCUGCAACUUAUGUCCGAGAGGCUUGGUUAAUGCAGAGAUCAUAGAAGCUUAAUGCUGCAAAUUAGGUGUAGUACAAAUAUGUCUUCUAAUGUUCACAAGCACUCACUUAUAUCUUUAUCAAUGUACUUUAAAUUCGAAUUGUCUGUAUAUACACACCUUAAAAUUAAGAAACUUUGGUCGUGCAUAGAGAGUUGGGUCAGGGAAGAAAUCAAAGCAGUGACGGCUCUGCACUAGCUGUGCAGGGAUCGAAAGCCUAUAGGUAUAGCAAUAAAUUCCCCUUUGAUGCUCAAGUUAAAUUUCUUUGUCGAAGAUAUGGUUGGAAGUUAUGUUUUUGAUUUGAUUCUUUAAACUAUAGGCUAUUUUGCGUAUUAAUUAUUUAUAUUUUCUUACUGCACAUGCCUAAAUCUCAUGUAAGACUGAACGGUACUCUGCCAUGGUUUUUAAUCUCUUUAUGUUUUCCUACUGCACUAGCCUAAAUCGAGCUAAACCGGCACAAACUGCAGACGGCAUUCCUCGAAGUUCUACCUACAUCUACAACUGCACAAAAGCUUGGAUCUUUGUAGUGUGUCUCCUCAUCAGUAGAGAUUACAUAGUAGGUAGUAGGGACACCAUAAUAUCCUAUUUUCUUACUUCAGUAUUUUCUUUUAGAAUAUAUAAGUAUAUUUCAGUAAUACGUGUCUUGUUUUACUUUGUCCGCGGUAACUGUGGAUGUAUUCUCGGCUUUACUGUCAGUAAAAAGAAGGCAUACAAAACAUUAAGUUUCUGCUCUGGUUGAAUGCCUCAUUUAAUCGUCGCAUAUUUAUUUCAAGUUACUCAAUUCUCAUCGAGCUUUCCUUAUGCUUUCCAUUGAUAAAUAAGAAAUUUAAUAUGCAAUAUUUUUAAUAUGUGAGAAGGCGAGAGAAGAAUAAGAGGGGUUGUCAGGUCGGACUAUUUUUGCGUGUCUGACCAGAGAUGGCUGGAUCCGUCAGCCGCUUUUCCAAACAGUGCAGUGCAGAUUCGCUGACUGGAGCAACAUCUAAACGUUCGCUACUCUAGCUUCUUUUUACAUUUCUUAGUAUCAACAAAUAAGUUGGUCACAUUAUAUACUUAAAGAUUACAGCAGUCAGCAGGUACAAAAUUCUUCGCUGACUAACAUAAUUAGGUAUGCCGCUCAUCUAUGUUUUAGAAAUAGAUAAUGGUUAAUUUUUCCAAUGUUGGCCCACCUGGUGAAUUGAGUUGUGUCUAUGAAGGGUCAGUACAGUAGUUGCUUUAAAAAAAGAGUAACGGUUUGGUUGCCAGAAUGGCGGUACUGAAAAAUCGUCUGUAAUGGUCAUCUGUGUUGUCGAGUUGGAACUUGAUUCUUUUGAAGCUGGAGUAGCUAGGUUGUCUACAUACAUGCUGCCCACUAAAUUCAGAUUUCAGUAUACUCUUUAGAAUAGGAUGGAUCACUGUGCUGUCUUCAGAAUUAGAGCUAGAGAGAAGGGAAGAGUUGCCACCAUAGCAUUUAUUUGUGACCGCAUGGUCCCAUUGUAGAUUUUCUUGAAGUACAAUAGCCUCUUCUUCUUGGAAGAAAUAGAUUGUUGUCUGUACCUCAGGUCUAACAGGGCUUGUAAGUUAGCCGGUGUACUAAUUUUGACGCUUCUUGGUCGAUGUUUCGGAAGAAAUGGGCUUUUGUAUAUUCGCACAAGCUUCCUUCGUCUAUGUUAUUUUCUCUCUUUAGUGUUGCUUUGAUGUUCCUUUUUCACUGUUCGAUGUUCUGCCUUGGGUGGCCUCUUUCAUGGUUACAGCUCGAUAUGGCUAUCUAUGUAUACAUAUGUAGGUUUUGUUUGAACUGUACUCAAAUCGUGUAGAUGUUUCCAUAUUCUUGCCUUCCUCUUUUUAACUCGUGAGAUUGUUAGAUAGUUGAAUAUCAUAGGUCUAUUGGCAUUCUGUUUUUGCAGUUUGAAAUGAGUAAUUGGUCCAUUGAUAUUAAACUUCACAAUAGGUAGUGGCAGAUAUGCUGGACAUCUAUUUUCUGGUGCAGGAAUGACACUAUUGCCCAAGUCCUCAACACAUAUAUUUUUUAUUAACGGAGAGGAUUAUUCACCUUUGCUGCUGCAGGCGUUCAAGACCUAGCGGGGCUGGGCCAACCGGUCCUUCAUGUUCAAGAUAUGGCCCUGAUGAGCCCUAACAACCCGUGCUACCGGCCGGGCACCUUCUUCCUGAGCCGGGUCCGGAACCAGACCAACAGGGACACACUGAGCGAGUACUUGUGGCAUGCUGUCAAGUCGGAGGGGUGCAACCAGGCAGCUGCCGUGUGUGUCCAGGUUCAUAUAGUCAAGGUGUUCGCUCAUCGCCCAGUACGAGUGGAAACGGGCGACAUGGUGACAUUGCUGCAAAACAACGAGGAAGGAACAUAUGGUUGACACUGAUGCAUGUAAUGGGUUAUACAAUAUAACUUAAUUUUGAAUGUGUCAUGUCCUAUACGUAUAUGUUAUAAUUGAGCCUUUUGUCAGCCUCUA